UACGUAGGGGGCGAGCGUUGUCCGGAUUUAUUGGGCGUAAGGAGCGUGUAGGCGGUUCGGUAAGUCUGUCGUGAAAUCCUGAGGCUCAACCUUGGACGUGCGAUGGAUACUGCCGGGCUAGAGGAUGGUAGAGGCGAGUGGAAUUCUCGGUGUAGCGGUGAAAUGCGCAGAUAUCGGGAGGAACACCAGUAGCGAAGGCGGCUCGCUGGGCCAUUCCUGACGCUGAGACGCGAAAGCGUGGGGAGCAAACAGG
rnacentral:rRNA from 1 species